GCGGCGGAAAUGUGCUUUGCAGAGCCUCGGCUCCAGCAUCAGGGGCAGAGUAGAAAAGGGUGGUUUGGAACCGAGAGAGAGGGUAACAGGUGCGUCUGGGUUUAUUUGCCCUUGCUUGUGUUCCUUCCUCCUGUCCUUUAUUUAAUUCAUUUGUUUAAAUAUGUAGCACAUUAACCUACUUCGCAAGAAUAAAAACUGUCCACAAAGGUAUACCCAGAGAGGCGUCCUCACCCCCCCCCCCUUUACCCGGUAUCCCCCACCCCUUGUAGGUAUUCCACUUCAUGGUUUUCCGAUUUGCCUUUGAUGUGUGUGUGUGUGUGUGUGUGUGUGUGUGUGGUUUUCUUUUUUUCGCUUUUCAAAAUUUAACACUUAUGUUUUCUUAUUCCCUUUGGUCUUCUGUGCAAAAGUAUAUUAUUUACAAUUGUUUGCACUUUGCAUUUUUCAUUUACUAUAUUCUGGAAAUCAGGUCGUAGAGUUUACCACAUUUUUUAAAAAUAGUACUCUAUAGUACUCCAACCAGAUGUCAUCGUUUAUGUAACCAAUCUUCCAUGUCUGGGUAUUUAAGGUAUUAAUAUAUGUAUAUUUUUUGAAAUUACAAAUAAUGUUGCAUGAACAACCUAGUACAUGAAUAGUUUUUAAAUUGUUGGACGUGUACCUUCAGGGUAAAUUCCUAGGAGUGGGACGAUUUUGUCAAAGAGUGACUGUAUCCUGGUUUGUUACAUAUUGCCAAAUUCCUCUGCAUAGGAGUUGUAUCUUUUUUUUUUUUUUUAAGUUUAUUUACCUAUUUUGAGAGAGAGAGAAUGAGUGUGGGAGGGGCAGAGACGGGGACAGAGGAUCCCAAGUGGGCUCCAUGCUAACAGCAGAGAGCCUAGUCUGAUGGAGGGAUCAGUCUCACAAACUGUGAGAUCAUGACCUGAGCCAAAGUUGGACACUUAACUGACUGAGCCAUCCAGAUGCCCCUCAAUUGUACCAUUUUUCAUUCUCAUUGGCAAUAGAUAAGUGCCUGUUUCAUCAGCAGAAAAUAUUGUCAGGAUUUUGAAUUUUUGCCCAUCUGAUGGGGGAGAAAUGCUAUCUUAGUAUGGUUUUAAUUUGCCUUUCCCUUAUUAUGAAUGAGGUUGAACAUUUGUUCCUGUUUCAGGAUCAGUUUUGUAUCUUUUUACUGUUGUUAAUUUUGCCCAUUCUUCUGGAGGAUUUUUGAUCCUUUUCCCUCAAUUGAAAAAACCAUUGAUAUAUUAGAGAUUUUGAUCCCUUAUCUGUGGGAUUGUGAUGUAAAUCUGUUCUAUAAAUGUGUCAUUUGAUUUUUGAUUUUGUUGAUUUGUUUGCCCUGCGAAACCUUAAAUUUUUUUAAGUAAUUAAAUGUAUCAAUCUUUUUUUUUUUAAAUUUUUUUUUCAACGUUUAUUUAUUUUUGGGACAGAGAGAGACAGAGCAUGAACGGGGGAGGGGCAGAGAGAGAGGGAGACACAGAAUCGGAAGCAGGCUCCAGGCUCUGAGCCAUCAGCCCAGAGCCUGACGCGGGGCUCGAACUCACGGACCGCGAGAUCGUGACCUGGCUGAAGUCGGACGCUUAACCGACUGCGCCACCCAGGCGCCCCAUGUAUCAAUCUUUUAUUGCAUCUUCAUUUGGAGACAUAAUUAGAAAGAUUUUCCCGAUACACAGGUUGUAGAAGGUAGUGCCCGUGUUUUCUUCUAGUACUCGUGUUUCAGGUUUGGCAUUCGGAUCUCUGCCCCAUUUGGAGUCCGUGAUACCUUUUCCCAAGUGGCUGUUUCGGUUAUCUAUGGAUGGAUAACAAACCACCCUGAAAUUUAGUGGCUUAAAAUAAGAUUAGUUUUAUUAGCUUCCACAGUUCCGUGUGUAGAUUUGACUCAGCUGGGCAGUUUUGCUAUUUUUGCUUGGGUCCUCCUGUAUGGUUGCAGUGCUGGGCGGCUGGGGCUGGAGUUGUUUAAAAAGGCUUGAUUUGGGGGUGCCUGAGUGGCUCAGUCAGUUAAGCGUUGGACUCUUGAUUUCAGCUCAGGUUGUGAUCUCACCAUUAGUGAGUUCUGAGCCCCCAGUCGGGCUCCACACUGGUAGUGCAGACCCUGCUUGGGAUUCUCUCUCUCCCUCUCUCUGCACCUCCCCUGCUCUCUCUCUCUCAAAAUAAAUAAAUACAGCUUAAAAAAAAAAAAAAGGCUUGAUUUGGAUACUGGGAAGGCCUCUCUCCUUCCACAUGUAGUUCUAGGUCCUCUUCUCUCCAUGGGGCCUCUUCAUUUGGUCUUUUCAGUAGGGGAGCUGGAUUGCUUCUUUGUCUUUGCUUCCUUUUUCUUCUCUCUAUCUCUCUUUCUCUCUUUUUAAAAGUAAUCUCUCCGCCCAAUGUGUGGUUCGAACUCAAGACCUGGACAUUGAGUCACAUGCUCUUCCCACUGAGCCAGCCGGGCGCCCUUCUUCUCCUUUUAAAUGUUUUAUUGUGAUAGCUUUCAAAUGCCAUAAAAUUCACCUAUUUAAAGUUCACACGGUUCAGUGGUUUUCAGUACAAUCAGAGUCGUACAAACCCAUCACCACAAUCUAAUUUUAGAGUAUUUUUAGCAUCCCAGAAAGAAACCCUAUACUCAUUAGCAGUCAUUUCUCAUUCUGCGGCAGGCUUCAUGCCUGUUCCGGCCCCAGACAACCACUGAUCCACUUUCUGUCCAUAUGAAUUUGUCUAUUUUGGGUAUUUCAUAUAAAUGGAAUCAUACAAUAUGUGGUCUUUUUUGACCAGCUUCUUUCACUUGGCAUAACGCGUUCAAGGUUCAUCCGUGUUGUACUGUGUCUCAGAACUUCAUUCCUUUUUAUAUACAAAUAAUAGUCUGCUACAUGGUGAUCUCCCAGUUUGCUUACCCAGUCAUCUGUUGGUGGACAUUUAGAUUGUUUUGACAUUUUGGCUGUUAUGAAUAAUGCUUCUAUGAACAUCUUUGUUCAAGUUUUUGUGUGGAUGUAUGUUUUGAUUUCUUUUUUUUUUAAUUUUCUUUUAAUGUUUAUUUAUUUUUGAAGGAGAGAGAGAGAGAGACAGAACAUGAGCUGGGGAGGAGCAGAGAGAGAGGGAGACAGAAUCUGAAGCAGGCUCCAGGCUCCAGGUUCCAGGUUCCCAGCCCGACGCAGGGCUCACACUCAUGAGCCGUGUGAACAUGACCUGAGCUGAAGUCGGACACUUAACCGACUGAGCCACGCAGGCACCCCUGGGUGUUUUGAUUUCUUGAGUCUAUACGAAGAGUGGAAUUACUGGAUCUUAUCUUUAGCCUUUUCAGGAAUUGCCACGGUGUUUUCCACGAUGGUUGCACCACUUUUUGGAUUUCGUCGGAAGCUUAUUUAUCAUUUAGGGUGAAAUCACAUGUUUUUCUCGUUAGACCCGUUCAAAUGGUGCUUUAUAUGAACGGAUUAUUUAAUAGUGACAUAUCCUCGAAUUUCCAGCAUAAUCUCAAAUAAGUUAUUUCUUGAUGACCUCCCUCUGAGGUUCAGUUUUCCUAUCUGUAAAUUGCAGAUAAUACUAGUAUUUACUCUCAUAGGGUUGUGAAGAUUUGAUGAGGUAAUGAAUGUAAAGUGCCCGUCACCGUGGUUAGCAUAGAAUAAAUGCUCAAUAAAUAUUAGCUAUGUAUUACCAUCUGUGGGUAGAUUCCCCCCAAUCCAGGACAUUUCCCAGCCACAAAGUCUGAGUUUGUGCAGAGAAAUUUUCUGUGAGGCACAGUGCACUUAGUAGUUAACAGCUGUGAUAUUUGUAAUAUUGAAAGAGGACUUCAACUAACUCCAUUUUGACCUCAGUCUGUACUUUCUAAUUGAUUAAGUUCUUCUUUGUGGCUUAUCUUUUAACUCAGGCAAAAGACCCUGUGGGCAAGGCAUCCCUUGAUAGAAAACUAAACUACCCCCUCCAGCAGUUAAGUACCGCACUGAACCAGCAAGACCCUGCAUGACUGACCCCAAGACAAUGGCCGACCUGACCUUUACUGCCCGCCUGCACAUUCCCACCGACCUUUGCUCCACAUUUUCCUCAUAUAAACCUGGAAGUGUUUUCGGCACUUUGGAGACAGUCUUUGAGACUCUAGUCCACAGUCUUCCCGGUGCUGGCCUUGCUGAAAUAAAUUCCUUUCUUGUUUCACCACUGCUUGU
rnacentral:lncRNA from 1 species